rnacentral:lncRNA from 1 species
UACAGUUGUGUACAGGCCGUUGUUUUUUUAUUUCUUCAAAAAUGACCCUUUUCUUUGGUUUUUGUUCUACUGCAAAAUAUUUUAAGGUAAAUCUCCUUCAUGUUUUUUUAUCCUCAGUUACUUUGACACAUCGGCUGUGAUGUUUACACAUCUGAUGAAGUCUCACAAGUGUCAGAACUGAUAAAUGAUCAGAAUUAUAAUAUUUCUGACUGACUGAGGCUAAAUUUCACAGAUUCAAUCGAAUCGAUUGUAGAAAUCAGUGAUGAGACCCAGCUCUAUUUCAUACAUAACUAAAGUUACCCACUGACGAUAACUGAUGACAGUGUGCUCAGAUUGUUCUUGAAUGUGGAGCUUUCAAGUAUGUAUUCAGCACAAAAAGGUUUUCGUCAGCUUCAUUUAACUUCUUCCUGUAACUUCUGUCAGUUAGACAGUAAUUAUGCCAAAUAAAGGACAGUAAUUAGAAUUGAUUACCCUCAUGCUGUAUAACAGUUCUGUAACAUUCUGUUUGCACUUCCUUCAGUCUGGAAAAAUCACACCCAUCAGAUUCACAUUGAUGUGAUAGUUACAUGUUUGCUCACUGGUUUUUCUCAUGUCUGCAGGUACCAUUGGUACUGUAAAAUGUGGAAACGGCAGCCCCCACCCGGGGAGGCCGACCACCGCCGCCUCAGGUGGAACAUCCGGGUAUGUGUGGGAUGAGGCAUGAAGUUAUUACAACGUCAGUUUCAUUGACUGAUGGCAACAUUGCUGCCCAGGUCAGGAGCAGCUGGCACAAGGAACAAUCCCUGAAAAGGAAGAUAAACCCCCCAAAAAAUACCACCACUACCGCAAGGGGUGAGACAGGCAGCCCCCACCGGGAGGCGGACCGCCGCCUCCUCCGGUGGCAAGUCCGGGAGCAAUUGGCCCAUGGGCUGCUGCCCAAAACAAAAGAAAAGAAAAGGCCACCAAAGCUCACCGACAGACACCCUCAGAAAAAUAGACAAGAGGAACAGCUGAAGGACCAAUUGGCCUGUGGGCUGCUGCCCGUAAGUAUUUCUCCAGGUUUUUUUUUUUCAAUUAUAUAUAAAAACCUUCCAAGGUGUCCGAAUUGGAGUAUUUAUUUCUUAACCUGCCGUUUUGUUUGUUUGUUCAGAAAACAGCAGGAAAGAAAAAACCACCCAAGUAAGUUCCUAUGCUGUAGUAGCACCCAGAUUUUCAGUAUAAUCUGCGAUGACAGGUCCGGGUACCAGCGGGGCUGGGAAGAAAACCCGCCACCUGGGGACGUCAACCGGCGCCCUCUCCGGUGGAAGAUCCGGAUAUGUGUGGGAUGAGGAGCAGCUGGCGCAGGGCAUUGCGCCUGUAAGCAAUUCUUAACCCCCCCCCAGCACAAAAGAGCCAGCCCCAUCCCUCACCCCAGCCCAGCCCCAACCCACAGCACAACUGAUCAG